rnacentral:rRNA from 1 species
GCGUGCCUAACACAUGCAAGUCGAACGGAGUUACUCUCCAGCUUGCUGGAGAACUAACUUAGUGGCGCACGGGUGAGUAAACACGUGGGUAACCUACCCGAAAGACUGGGAUAACACCCCGAAAGGGGUGCUAAUACCGGAUACCUUUAUAAGUUUUGCAUGAACUUAUAAAGAAAGUUUUUUCGCUUUCGGAUGGGCCCGCGUCCCAUUAGCUAGUUGGUGAGGUAACGGCUCACCAAGGCGACGAUGGGUAGCCGGCCUGAGAGGGUGGACGGCCACACUGGGACUGAGACACGGCCCAGACUCCUACGGGAGGCAGCAGUAGGGAAUAUUGCGCAAUGGACGGAAGUCUGACGCAGCGACGCCGCGUGAGCGAUGAAGGUCUUCGGAUCGUAAAGCUCUGUCCUUGGGGAAGAGGCGAAAGCUUGACGGUACCCAGAAGAAGCCCGGCUAACUACGUGCCAGCAGCCGCGGUAUACGUAGGGGCGAGCGUGUCCGAAUACUGGCGUAAGGGUGCGUAGCGGCCU